rnacentral:rRNA from 1 species
CGCAAUGGGCGAAAGUCUGACGGAGCGACGCCGCGUGGUUGAUGAAGUCCUUCGGGACGUAAAAACCUUUUAUGAUCAGGAAAGUUUAUUGAUCCGAUCAUGAAUAAGGGGCUCCAAACUCUGUGCCAGCAGGAGCGGUAAUACAGAGGCCCCAAGCGUUGUCCGGAAUCACUGGGCGUAAAGGGUGUGUAGGUGGUCUUGUUAGUCUCUCGUUAAAUCCGUGGGCUCAACCUACGGUCUGCGAGGGAAACGGUAAGGCUCGAGGGCGCGAGAGGUGCACGGAACUCAUGGUGGAGGGGUGAAAUCCGUUGAUAUCAUGGGGAACACCGAAAGCGAAGGCAGUGCACUGGCGCGUUCCUGACGCUCACACACGAAAGCCA